CUCCCGGUGAUCCCGCCGGACCCGACUGCUAUCGGAUUGAGAUUUAGCCAUGCGAGUCGAACGUCCCCCUGUUGCGGGGGGCGUGGCGUACGGCUCAGUAACACGUAGUCAACCUGCCCUGGAGACAAGGACAACCCCGGGAAACUGGGAUUAAUCCUUGAUAGGUCAUCUCAUCUGGAAGGAGAGAUGGCUUAAAGGGGUACGCGGGCUUCUUCCGCGAAUCUGCUCCAGGAUGGGACUGCGUCCGAUCAGGCUGUUGGCGGGGUAAUGGCCCACCAAACCUGUAACCGGUACGGGCCUUGAGAGAGGUGGCCCGGAGAUGGACACUGAGAGAAGGGUCCAGGUCCUACGGGGCGCAGCAGGCGCGAAACCUUCGCAAUGCGCGAAAGCGUGACGAGGUUAAUCCGAGUGACUCCCGCUGAGGGGGUCUUUUGUCAGCUGUAAAUAGGCAGGCGAAUAAGGGGAGGGCAAGCCUGGUGUCAGCCGCCGCGGUAAUACCAGCUCCUCGAGUGGUCGGGGCGAUUAUUGGGCCUAAAGCAUCCGUAGCCGGUUCCGUAGGUCCUCUGUUAAAUCCAACCGCUUAACGGUUGACCUGCAGAGGAUACCGCGGGACUAGGAGGCGGGAGAGGCGGACGGUACUCCGCGUGUAGGGGUAAAAUCCUUUGAUCCGCGGAAGACCACCAGUGGCGAAGGCGGUCCGCCAGAACGCGCUCGACGGUGAGGGAUGAAAGCUGGGGGAGCGAACCGGAUUAGAUACCCGGGUAGUCCCAGCCGUAAACGAUGCGAGCUAGAUGAUUCGAUCGCAGUUCGCGAUCGAAGUGUCGCAGGGAAGCCGUUAAGCUCGCCGCCUGGGGAGUACGGUCGCAAGGCUGAAUCGUAUGCAGAAAAUUCUGUAUGCGCAGUUCACUUAAAGGAAUUGGCGGGGGAGCA
rnacentral:rRNA from 1 species